rnacentral:rRNA from 1 species
UAGGGAAUCUUCGGCAAUGGACGAAAGUCUGACCGAGCAACGCCGCGUGAGUGAAGAAGGUUGUCGGAUCGGAAAACUCGGUUGUUAGAGAAGAACAAGGACGGUAGGAACGGAACGUCCCAUGACGGUAUCUAACAAGAAAGCAACGGCUAACAACGUGCCAGCAGCCGCGGUAAUACGUAGGUGGCAAGCGUUGUCCGGAUUUAUUGGGCGUAAAGCGAGCGCAGGCGGUUUCUUAAGUCUGAUGUGAAAGCCCCCGGCUCAACCGGGGAGGGUCAUUGGAAACUGGGAGACUUGAGUGCAGAAGAGGAGAGUGGAAUUCCGUGUGUAGCGGUGAAAUGCGUAGAUAUAUGGAGGAACACCAGUGGCGAAGGCGGCUCUCUGGUCUGUAACUGACGCUGAGGCUCGAAAGCGUGGGGAGCAAACAGG